GAUGAACGCUGGCGGCGUGCCUAAUACAUGCAAGUCGAGCGAACGGACGAGAAGCUUGCUUCUCUGAUGUUAGCGGCGGACGGGUGAGUAACACGUGGAUAACCUACCUAUAAGACUGGGAUAACUUCGGGAAACCGUAGCUAAUACCGGAUAAUAUUUUGAGCCGCAUGGUUCAAAAGUGAAAGACGGUCUUGCUGUCACUUAUAGAUGGAUCCGCGCUGCAUUAGCUAGUUGGUAAGGUAACGGCUUACCAAGGCAACGAUGCAUAGCCGACCUGAGAGGGUGAUCGGCCACACUGGAACUGAGACACGGUCCAGACUCCUACGGGAGGCAGCAGUAGGGAAUCUUCCGCAAUGGGCGAAGGCCUGACGGAGCAACGCCGCGUGAGUGAUGAAGGUCUUCGGAUCGUAAAACUCUGUUAUUAGGGAAGAACAUAUGUGUAAGUAACUGUGCACAUCUUGACGGUACCUAAUCAGAAAGCCACGGCUAACUACGUGCCAGCAGCCGCGGUAAUACGUAGGUGGCAAGCGUUAUCCGGAAUUAUUGGGCGUAAAGCGCGCGUAGGCGGUUUUUUAAGUCUGAUGUGAAAGCCCACGGCUCAACCGUGGAGGGUCAUUGGAAACUGGAAAACUUGAGUGCAGAAGAGGAAGGUGGAAUUCCAUGUGUAGCGGUGAAAUGCGCAGAGAUAUGGAGGAACACCAGUGGCGAAGGCGACUUUCUGGUCUGUAACUGACGCUGAUGUGCGAAAGCGUGGGGAUCGAACAGGAUUAGAUACCCUGGUAGUCCACGCCGUAAACGAUGAGUGCUAAGUGUUAGGGGGUUUCCGCCCCUUAGUGCUGCAGCUAACGCAUUAAGCACUCCGCCUGGGGAGUACGACCGCAAGGUUGAAACUCAAAGGAAUUGACGGGGACCCGCACAAGCGGUGGAGCAUGUGGUUUAAUUCGAAGCAACGCGAAGAACCUUACCAAAUCUUGACAUCCUUUGACAACUCUAGAGAUAGAGCCUUCCCCUUCGGGGGACAAAGUGACAGGUGGUGCAUGGUUGUCGUCAGCUCGUGUCGUGAGAUGUUGGGUUAAGUCCCGCAACGAGCGCAACCCUUAAGCUUAGUUGCCAUCAUUAAGUUGGGCACUCUAAGUUGACUGCCGGUGACAAACCGGAGGAAGGUGGGGAUGACGUCAAAUCAUCAUGCCCCUUAUGAUUUGGGCUACACACGUGCUACAAUGGACAAUACAAAGGGCAGCGAAACCGCGAGGUCAAGCAAAUCCCAUAAAGUUGUUCUCAGUCCGGAUUGUAGUCUGCAACUCGACUACAUGAAGCUGGAAUCGCUAGUAAUCGUAGAUCAGCAUGCUACGGUGAAUACGUUCCCGAGUCU
rnacentral:rRNA from 1 species